AUGGAGUUUCCUAGAACUUUGGGAAAACAGAGCAGGGGUUGUCAGCAGCACCCUGGCCUUAUCUCUGAAGUGUGCACGGGUGCUGGCGGACCUGUGGGAGACCAGCCCCAUGGACUCCCCCCUCUCGUCACUGUCUUCCUCUCCAGCCAGCACGCUCAUCAUCCAGGGCUGUGGCCCCAGCCCCAUUUUAGAGAGUGCCCCUCAGUGUGGGAGCUUGCACGGCAGUGCAGGAGGAAAUGGGCCCCUGGGACUCGGGGAUGCAGGGCAGGGAGACUGCAGAGGAUCCUGGGGAGGACCCACCACUCCUGGCAGAAUUUAUCCAGGCAGGUCUGUUCCCAGAAGCCCCCAGUCUCAGGCGGUAAGGACUCAACUCUUAGCCAGGAAAUGGGAUGGGAGCCUGGCACCUGUGAGUACCCCCCAGGAGUGGGGCUCCAAGAGUGCUGGGGGCUCGGGGAGGCUGCAUGGGGCCACCCUCCUCUCCUAGGGCCACCCUCUCCAGGCACUGACCCCUGGAAACAAGGAGUGGGAGAGGGCACCCCACCCCACUGCGUCGCGGCUCUGCCAGGGAAUGUGCUCGCCCUGGCGCCCUGGUCGGGGACCCUAGGCACGUGUACGGGCCGCCACCCAGUGUGUGCUCCUGGCCCCCAGCCACCCACCUCAAGCUCCAGGUGGCCCCAACUGGCCAGAGCUGUUGCAAGAUGCUGGUCCCACCUGCUCACAGCACCUGUAGCAGAAUUUUAUCUGCCCCUGGAAGUGUCUCGAGCAGUCCUGGACUGGGCUGGGUACGGGAGGGGCUGCCGCCCAACAGUUUCCCUUAGGGCAGCAGCUGAGGUCACUGGCACACGGCAGGGGGCAGCUGGUGCCCUCAGGUCCGUGGGUGGAGAGGGUGGGGUGGGAUGGAGGCACGGCUGUAUGCGUGGCCACAGGACACGCCAGGGGGGCGCGUGGGGCGUGUGGGAGUGGUUUGGGGUUUGGGGAAGAGGCUCUGAAGAACGUCUGGCGUGCCAUGGUCCUGUCUUGACGGUGGCUGGCGGGAGGACAGCUUGGCAGGCUGCAUCUCUGGCCAGUGAUCUGUGA
rnacentral:lncRNA from 1 species